AUCCAGCUGACGAGUCCCAAAUAGGACGAAACGCGUGUCCCAGAU
rnacentral:hammerhead_ribozyme from 1 species